rnacentral:rRNA from 1 species
CCUACGGGAGGCAGCAGUGGGGAAUAUUGGGCAAUGGAGGAAGCUCUGACCCAGCGACGCCGCGUGCGGGAUGAAGGCCUUCGGGUUGUAAACCGCUUUCAGCAGGGAAUAAGCGCAAGUGAAGGUACCUGCAGAAGAAGCACCGGCUAACUAUGUGCCAGCAGCCGCGGUAAUACAUAGGGUGCAAGCGUUGUCCGGAAUUAUUGGGCGUAAAGAGCUCGUAGGUGGUUUGUUACGUCGGUUGUGAAAUUCAGGGGCUCAACCCCUGACUUGCAGCCGAUACGGGCAAGCUAGAGUUUGGUAGGGGAGACUGGAAUUCCUGGUGUAGCGGUGGAAUGCGCAGAUAUCAGGAGGAACACCGAUGGCGAAGACAGGUCUCUGGGCCAAUACUGACACUGAGGAGCGAAAGCGUGGGGAGCGAACAGGAUUAGAUACCCCGGUAGUCCACGCCGUAAACGGUGGGCGCUAGUUGUGCGAACCUUCCACGGUUUGUGCGACGCAGCUAACGCAUUAAGCGCCCCGCCUGGGGAGUACGAUCGCAAGNUUAAAACUCAAAGGAAUUGACGG